rnacentral:rRNA from 1 species
UACGUAGGGGGCGAGCGUUGUCCGGAUUUAUUGGGCGUAAAGAGCUCGUAGGCGGUUUGGCAAGUCGGGUGUGAAAACUCCGGCUCAACUCGGAGACGCCACUCGAUACUGCUAUGACUCGAGUCCGGUAGGGGAGUGCGGAAUUCCUGGUGUAGCGGUGAAAUGCGCAGAUAUCAGGAAGAACACCCGUGGCUAAGGCGGCUCUCUAGUACGGUACUGACGCUGAGACGCGAAAGCGUGGGGAGCGAACAGG